UACGUAGGGGGCAAGCGUUGUCCGGAUUUAUUGGGCGUAAAGAGCGUGUAGGCGGCCUGAAAGGUCAGCUGUGAAAACUCGAGGCUCAACCUCGAGACGUCGGUUGAAACCAUCUGGCUAGAGCCCGGAAGAGGAGUGUGGAAUUCCCGGUGUAGCGGUGAAAUGCGCAGAUAUCGGGAAGAACACCCGUGGCGAAGGCGGCACUCUGGGACGGUACUGACGCUGAGACGCGAAAGCGUGGGGAGCGAACAGG
rnacentral:rRNA from 1 species